UCGUCAUUUUGUAAUGUUGAAAUAUUUUAUUGAAGCCACUUUUCUUUUUUGCUUUAAAAUUUGGCUUUACUGAUUUCUCAAAAUGCCAAGAGAUGUCAUGGAGGUAUCGUGAAUUGUGUUUAAUGAACAGACAAUCGUCUGCUACAUGUGGUUUAUGGCAUGGACCCAAUGUGCCUUGGUUUAUGACACCCUGUUGUCUUUGUCUGGACGGUCUCCGAUCAUAACGAGAUAAUCGAUUUGUGAUGAACAAAGGUGCAAUUUAACACCUAUGCUGCAACACAGAGUGUCAAAACUGGUGUAACAAUUAAAUAAAUCAAUUACAUUAAUCGAUAAAAUUUAUUUAAUGUGUAACAAGGUUAGUUUUUUUAGACAUAUAGAGGUUACUACAUGCAUACAGAAUCCAUUGCGACGCUUCAAAUAUUCCGCAGCUGCGUGCGUUGUGAGGAUUUACCUGAUCAGUGAUGGAAAUCGGAGACAGGCACCCGAGCAACAUCCUCAUGAAGAAAACUGGCGAAGAUCUUCUGCACGUGCUUCCAAAUCUUCAUGUAAAUCAGGCAGCAUGGUACCCUGUUCCUGACACUACUCAACCUCAUGAUGCCCUUUAACCUUCCGGAACUGAACUGUCAAGCUGAUAUCGAGUACUGCAAGGAGAUGCGUGGACUAAAAACUCCGGGCCUCGCCUCGGCCAAGAAGUUCUUCAAGAAACCCAUUGGUUCAUACAAGAAGCAGUAGAUGACAAACAUUGGCUGGUUCUUCCAUUGCUUUAACAAGGCACUUUUUAAUAUGCGUUCUGGAAGUUAGAUGGCAACUUAAACUGUUUGACAUUCUUUUUUUUAAGAUGAUUUUCUUACUGCACUUUUUCGGGGUUUUUGUGAUUUUUUUUAUUAAACAUGCAAUAAAAGUGAAUUAUU